rnacentral:sRNA from 1 species
GCUGGGCAUGAUGGCGCAUGCCUGUAAUCCCAGCAGCUCAGGAGGCUGAGGCAGGAGGAUCACAAGUUCAAAGCCAACCUCAGCAAAAGCAAGGUGCUAAGCAACUCAGGGAGACCCUGUCUCUA